CAGGGCGUCCUAUCUGUCUUGCUCCUGGCUGUAUCCUCAGCCCCCAGCACACGUCACCCAGAUUUGUCAAACAGAUGAAUUUGUGGAGUCUUUGAAACAUUGAAACAAACUCUGACUUGCUUACCAGUUUGUAGAGUCCCAGACCUUUUAUGCUAUUCGGACAAGGCUUGCGGAUUCUAUACCUGCAGGGUCUCUCCGUUCCUGGCGCCGCUGUCCUCACGUUUGGACCAUUGCAACGACCUCUGAAAAGUUCUGCCUGCCUUUGGUGUCCGCCCGCUCCAGGGGAAAGAAAUCUGUCUCCGAUUUGAAGAACUGUCUGGUGAUGGACGGUGGUUUGGGCAGUAAAAACAAUCCCACAGAACGUUACAAUUUGCAACGGGCUUUACUUCAUCUGAUCCCACGGGCUUGUGAGGUAAGAGGUGUCUCCAGUUUACAGUUGAGGAACCCGAGACUCAGAGAGGAGAAACCGCGUGGAUGCGACAGCCAGUGUGUGGUGGGAUGGGUCCUCGGGUCUCGUGACUCCAGGUGGUAGGUCUCUGUCUCUUCACAGUGCUGUCCUGCAGCCCUGGUCAUGAGGUGGGUGGAGAUGGUGAUAAACUUUAAGGAGAUGGCCCCAGAACUUCCAUAAUGCCCAGCUGAGUAUGUAUCCUGGGCAAGAAAGAGUGGAGAUAAAUGACCUAUGCUUUUAAUUCAAGAAGCUGGAGUAAAGAACGAUUUAAAAAGUAGCAGAGUUUGACUUGACAGUGACUGAGACGUUUGAUGGAUUAAAUGGAAAGAACUCUUGCCUGUGAACUAUGGGCUGGUCUAGCAAAGGCGUCUGUGCCUGUUUCCUCACGUCUCCUGGAAAAUAAAGGCAGCAAGAGGAAGAGGAAGAUUCAGGAAUUCGACCCAGAGGCUCCUGGGCUCACCCAGCCUUACCACUCCUGGCUGUCUGGCUUUGAAAAGAUACUGUCUGUGUCUACAUUUCCUUAUCUUCUGAAUUCUUAAAGGCCAUUCAGGUUUCAGACCUGGGUAAUAUGCGGAAACCAUCGAAUGCACUGGACACAACCUGGUUUCUGGAAGCAGGAGGGGAGGAAGAUGGUGUGAUGCCAGCCAAGGGCCAAGCAAAUGGAAAGCCAGUGGUAUGAUCUGUCUGCCUAUUGACCUCGCUAGCCCACGCCUCCACCGGUGGAGCUGAUUUCAUCUGCAGGGGCCAUGUUGUUUACUGACUUAACCAUCUCUUUCGGCGCCGUUGUCUCAACAUGGCACUUUUAGAGCUGAGUCACUUAGAGGACAAUCUCACACCAUGUAUAAAGGACCAAAGUUUGUGCUACAGACCACACGCACCCUGUGGAAGGUCCCAGAGGGGAGACUUCACACUUGUCCAGAGUUUUCUUAGAGUUCAGGCUUGAACCAGCCUUGAAAGAUGGUGACCGCCCUGCUGUCACUUCCUCUUCCAAACAGAACAGAGUUCCUUUGACAGACCUCGCCCCUCCCAUUCUCGUCUGCCUGGCAUCGAUGCUUCAGGCCAGUUGGGCUGGGAUUGGAUUAAACCACAGUUGGUUCAGAGCCAAGGAGGCCACACAUGCAUGCCUGGGACUUCAUGGAAAGAAAAGCUUCCUGCCUUUUCCUUGGAGGACGCCAGCAGACGCUCAGUGUGGAAUGAGGCUGCUUCUACGUCAAAGGGGGAGCCCGGGGCUGAGAGCAUGGGUGUGGGCGCUGGGUGGAAGCCUCACCAUGGAAGGCAAAUCGGGGAGCCGGACAGAGCCAGGGGGACACCAGGCCACGGGCGACAGCGUUUGAUUUGUUGCACAAUCCCUUGCUAGUCACAGGCCUUGAUGUUUUACUGCCCUUUAUUAUACAGACUAGCUUUAACUGGAUUUUCUGUGACUUGCAACAAAAAGAGUCCUAACUGAUCUCAAUGGGUGGGAUCUGUUCCCUGUCAAAGAGGUGAAGCAUCUCAGGCAAGGGGAAAGGGGAACGUCCUCCCAAUGUGUAGCCACUGCAGCGAAGCCUGUCGGAUAACAAGGGGGAAAGUUCCCACGUCCAGUCCAGAGUAUUGUUUGGUGUAACGUUUCCCAAAGUUUUUUUUUUU